UACAGAGGGUGCAAGCGUUAAUCGGAAUUACUGGGCGUAAAGCGCGCGUAGGUGGUUCGUUAAGUUGGAUGUGAAAUCCCCGGGCUCAACCUGGGAACUGCAUUCAAAACUGACGGGCUAGAGUAUGGUAGAGGGUGGUGGAAUUUCCUGUGUAGCGGUGAAAUGCGUAGAUAUAGGAGGGAACACCAGUGGCGAAGGCGACCACCUGGACUGAUACUGACACUGAGGUGCGAAAGCGUGGGGAGCAAACAGG
rnacentral:rRNA from 1 species